rnacentral:rRNA from 1 species
UACGUAGGGUGCGAGCGUUAAUCGGAAUUACUGGGCGUAAAGCGUGCGCAGGCGGUUAUUUAAGUCAGGUGUGAAAGCCCUGGGCUUAACCUAGGAAUUGCGCUUGAGACUGGAUAGCUUGGAGUGCGGCAGAGGGAGGUGGAAUUCCACGUGUAGCAGUGAAAUGCGUAGAGAUGUGGAGGAACACCGAUGGCGAAGGCAGCCUCCUGGGCCAGCACUGACGCUCGAUGCACGAAAGCGUGGGGAGCAAACAGG